CUCAUGAACCCCGCCAGGUCCGGAAGGGAGCAACGGUAAGUGAUAAUCUUCAUGUGCCGUGAGGGCGCCUAAGUA
rnacentral:SRP_RNA from 1 species